ACUGGGUGUGGUGGUGGAUGCCUGUAAUCCUAGCAGCUUGGGAAGCUGAGGCAGGAGGAUUGCAAGUUCAAAGCCAGCCUCAGUAAAAGCGAGGUGCUAAGCAACUCAAUAGGACCCUGUCUCUA
rnacentral:sRNA from 1 species